rnacentral:misc_RNA from 1 species
CAGAAGAGCGGAUCCAAUACCAAGACUACU